rnacentral:rRNA from 1 species
GGUGAACGCUGGCGGUAUGCCUAAGACAUGCAAGUCGCACGGGCCGGUUUCGGCCGGCCAGUGGCGGACGGGUGAGUAACACGUGGGAGACGUGCCCUCAAGCGGGGGAAAACCGGGGGAAACCCCGGCUAAUCCCCCAUGUGGACGGCCGCUGUGGCGGCCGUCUAAAGCCUCGGCGCUUGGGGAUCGGCCCGCGGCGCAUCAGGUAGUUGGUGGGGUAAGGGCCCACCAAGCCGACGACGCGUAGCUGGUCUGAGAGGACGACCAGCCACAGGAGCACUGAGACACGGGCUCCACUCCUACGGGAGGCAGCAGUUAGGAAUCUUCGGCAAUGGGCGAAAGCCUGACCGAGCGAUACCGCUUGAAGGACGAAGCCCCUCGGGGUGUAAACUUCUGAACUCGGGACGAUGGUGACGGUACCGAGGUAAUAGCACCGGCUAACUCCGUGCCAG